ACGAACGCUGGCGGCGUGCUUAACACCUGCCCGUCGAACGGAAAGGCCCUGCUUGCAGGGUACUCGAGUGGCGAACGGGUGAGUAACACGUGGGUGAUCUGCCCUGCACUUCGGGAUAAGCCUGGGAAACUGGGUCUAAUACCGGAUAGGAGCCAUUUUUAGUGUGAUGGUUGGAAAGUUUUUUCGGUGUAGGAUGAGCUCGCGGCCUAUCAGCUUGUUGGUGGGGUAAUGGCCUACCAAGGCGGCGACGGGUAGCCGGCCUGAGAGGGUGGACGGCCACAUUGGGACUGAGAUACGGCCCAGACUCCUACGGGAGGCAGCAGUGGGGAAUAUUGCACAAUGGGCGCAAGCCUGAUGCAGCGACGCCGCGUGGGGGAUGACGGCCUUCGGGUUGUAAACUCCUUUCGCUAGGGACGAAGCUUUUUGUGACGGUACCUAGAGAAGAAGCACCGGCUAACUACGUG
rnacentral:rRNA from 1 species